rfam:Staphylococcus pseudintermedius strain 063228, complete genome.
UCCAUUGCGAAGUGGAAUCUGAAGGAAGUCGGACGCAAACGCUCGCACCGACGAACAGAAACAUCAUACUAAGGCUAUGUAGAAUGGAUGAAUCUGCAUCACUGAUGGAGCUUGUUGUAAGACCUGAAAAUAUAGAAAAUGCUAUCAAGAAGGUUAAGAAAAAUAA